AAAUCAUGGCGUUCGGUGAUUAUCCGAAAGAAUACAAGCCAGAUGUCCAUGGACCGUACGACCCAGCUCGUUUCUAUGGCAAGAGUAAGUGCUUUCGUG
rfam:Operophtera brumata OBRT01_Sc00993, whole genome shotgun sequence.